GGUGUUGCAUGGCCGUCGUCAGCUCGUGUCGUGAGAUGUUGGGUUAAGUCCCGCAACGAGCGCAACCCUCAUCCUUAGUUACCAUCAGGUAAUGCUGGGGACUUUAAGGAAACUGCCAGUGAUAAACUGGAGGAAGGUGGGGAUGAUGUCAAGUCAUCAUGGCCCUUAUGGAGUGGGCUACACACGUGCUACAAUGGUGGCUACAAUGGGCUGCAAAGUCGCGAGGCUAAGCUAAUCCCUUAAAAGCCAUCUCAGUUCGGAUUGUACUCUGCAACUCGAGUGCAUGAAGGUGGAAUCGCUAGUAAUCGCGGAUCAGCAUGCCGCGGUGAAUGCGUUCCCGGGUCUUGUACACAC
rnacentral:rRNA from 1 species